GUACCCAGAAACUCCGUUCUGUUGCUCCAUUAUGUUAGGCACUCUACAAACAUAGACACAGACUCAUUCACAGUUCAGAGGAGCUUACAGUCUCCUGCAAACACUUACACAUGUUCUUAACUUUAAACUUGAGGUCAAUGAGACUACUUGGAUGUUUAAAGGUAAGCCUAUGUGUAAUUUUUUACAGGAUCUGGGCCUAAGACUUCAUGGUAGUAUACAAGUAAAAAGAUCCAUUACAUAAAAAUAAUUCCUUAUUCCCUUCUUGAACAUUUUUGUAAUAAGUGCAGCCUAUGUUGCCACCAAGAUUUAAAGUUUUUUCUUUAAACAGCAUAUUAUCUAAGAAGAGAAAACUGAUUUAAAUCACAUAUUCCAUCUAAUGAUUGCAAACAUAUUCAGUUAAACCAAGAUAAAAUUAACUCUCUUUUUGCCAUUGGGGGUCAUUCCUAGUGCAUUUGUUUGGAUGUCAGUUUAAAAAAAAAAUGCCAUUAGCCUAAGGGUAAACUUUUUUGUUCUAAAAUAUAGAAAGAUUCCUGAAAGUACAACAGACAAAUAGACAUUCGUUACAUUAGAGGCAUCUGUUUCGGAAGAAGUUGAUUUUCAAAUAUGAAAAUGUAAUUUUAGCAUUCAGGAUAGUGGUAAUUUAAAAUAAAACAAGAACAAUAGUCAUUAAAUGGCUGUGUUUCUGGACUUAGAUUGAUGCUUAACACAUUGAUCUUCUUCAAAAGAAGCUUUCCAUAUUCCAUCUGUUAGAAUCUUUGACCUUUUCUUAACACCAUUAAAAGAUAAAAUGUUAAUCUACUGAAAAAAGAUGCAUGACCUUUUAAAAGUGAACUGUACCACUUUAGAGUCUGCCAUCAUUAAAGAACUUUAUGCUCAGGAGCCAUGCAUUAUGUGUAUCAUAGCAAUUUAAUUGUUUAGAAUAAUGUAAUUGUUCAACCAAGAAGAUAUAUACCACACGUACCAUAAAUUAGAACUAGAACAAUGUGAACUUUGACAAAAACUGAUCAAGUUAAUGUGUCAGUCCAGGGCUCCCUUUCAGUUCUAAUCAGCCACAACCUCUGAAUGUUUUUUUUUUAUUAUUAUGCUAAGAUGUAUGUCUGGGAGUCAUCAUUUAAAAAAAUAAUUAAAAAAAGACAGCACCUAGUAACAAAUAAAACGACAUCAUGGAUGUUUGGCACUUUUUAACUUUUUUUUCUCCCCCAAAUUAUGUGUUUUUAUUUAUUGAAGUUCAGGCCAUAAGUGUGAAACUCAUAUUUCAAAUUGGAGCAAAGCUUUUAAAUGAUCACAGAUUUAUUGAAAAUGGUGUUUACUUGUUUAUGUGAAAACUGAUCCGUUAUGAAGCAGACAAUUUUAAUGACAGUGGCCCCAACCCAGGAAAGCACUGAAGCAUGUGCUUACAUGAAGCUGUAUUCAAUAAAGCAUUUAAGAACAUGCUUAACUUCUAGCACGUGGUUAAUUCCCUCUGGCUUCUAGGUAAGCCCAUGCUUUCCUGAUUGAAGGGUUUCCCUGAAUACAGCCAGAGACAACAAACUGAAUGAUUAUUAUGUAAUUUAACUUUGCUUUAUGCCAUGAUGUUCGCUCUAGAAAUAAAAGAGAGAAGCAAUUCCUUGCUAAAAAAUCUGUAAGUACAGCAAUCUGAUUAAUGCUUUGGCUACCUAAGAAGUGCACAGCAAAUGACUCCAGAAAGUCCAUAUGGGUUCCUCUUUAGAAUAAGAUGUUCUAGUCUUUGAUGUACAGUGCUAGAGCCCAAAAAUCCCACCUAUGCUACAGAAGAGUGUGUCUUUUUAAAUGAGCUCAGUAUUAUUCAGUGAAGUUUUCCCUGCAGAGUAAGUGAUCAUCGGAUAAAGCAUCAAGGCUCUAGCACGAUAGAAGUUCUACUCAUAUGUGUAUUAACUAUUUAUUGUUGUUACUGUUGUUAUUAAUUUAUAUUGCGAUAGCACCAAAGGGUCCCAAUCGUGGCCCAGGACCUUGCUUGUGCCAAGCACUGUACAGACACAGAACAAAAAGAUAGUCCCCACCGCAAAGCUCUUACUAUAAGAUAAGAUACAGCAAAUAGAUACAAUGAACAGAUGUAAGGAGUAGAAGGCAACAAUGAGACAGUACUAGUCAGCCUGAUAAGCAGUGGUCACACCACAACAAAUCCCUAGCCCUUGUUGAGUAUUUUAUAGGCAUCACUGCAGAGGAGAAUGUUGAGGAGAGUGGAAGGACAAUGAGGUGAGAUUGUGGAUGUUUGUGUUGCCAGCUCUUGCAAUCUUAGCAUGAGUUUUUGCUAUAUUUGGUGCUUCCUUAAAGCCCUAGCUGCUGGAAUCCUAUUACAUGGGAUUCUUAGUAGUCAUUUUAAAAAAAGAAAAGGUUUCUAGCCCUGCUGGUUGCAGAGACAAUCAUGAACCCUAAUGAUGGCUCCAAAGCCACAAGAGAAAUAAAAAGACUCCAAAAGUUAUUUUUUUAAAUCUCAAUUUCCCCCCCCCCCUCCCAAUCUCAUUAUUUUUGAGUGCUGAUAUUCACUGGGAGCUCCUCCCAUCCAUAAAGGGAGCACAGAAGAAACUAUGAAAUAGAAUUUUGGAAAAUUUAACAAAUAAGAAGACAUUUUCCUCUGUAAAUACUUCUACCUCCUAAUUAAAACUCUCUAUAUGGUUUUCUGCUCCUGGUGCUUUAAUAGGUGAGUUUGUUUAUAUUUUCUCUCUGUUAAAUAAAUAUGACCUAAUUUUCUUGAAUCCAAGCAUUUCAUAUCCAAAGUGAAUAAUACCACCUUUUUCAUUUUGAAUUUUUAUCACACUCUUUCACUAUAUUAACCUGUUCCCUCAACCUUCAUCCCAGUUUAUCACUGCAAAUUUCCUCACUUCCAUAUUCUUCUCUGUAGGUCAUUGAUAUUGAAAGCAGGCAAUAUGUUUCUUAGUGUUCAGUGAUGUGGCACUUCACUGGUCGCAUAGUAUACUAGCUAUCAAGAUGACAGUCGGUGUUGCUCUGAAUAGCAUAUAUUUACAAUGCAUACCAUGUGAAAGCCUGUAGCGGGGUGGCAUGGACCCAGCCAACGGGGGGAGUCGGUGGCAACAAAGCACAGUCAUAUGCCAAAUGUGGUGGGGGAAGGAAAUGUGUAGCGGUCUGUGUGUUUGUGUUCAAGGAUAUACAGGAUUCAGACCUAUUUUUCCUAUGGUCCAUCAAUCUGUGGGUAACUUAGCAGGCCACUUGCCCUGCCAGUUGCACAUUGCUGGUGGCCUGCCUUACAGAGAUUCAGUUCCACCUCUGAAGGCAGUAGUACCUCAAGAAAACAUGAGCUAUUUCAAGGUAAGUCCACCCUUCCAUGCAUUUUUAUGUUGGAAGGGAGGAUACGAUCCACUGUAAUUACUUUUGUGUCUACUAAGUAUGACUACAAAAUAAUCUACCAAAGCUAUAAUUACUACCUAAUUAGUGUUUCCAAAUAAAACCUACAUAGUUACCGUACUGCUUGCUGUUUCUUCAUGCUGUAGUAGUAGUCAUCCUUAAACCUUUUGUGGCUGCUCAUCACUUGUUACUAAACAAAGCCUAAAUGCUACAGGCCUUGCCAAAAAAAACCUAUUCCUCUUUUUCACUGUGAAACUGGAUGUGAAAGAAAAAGUUUCAAACUGUGCUGCUCUUAGAAACAUUAAGGCAGCAUAUAAAUAGAAUAGUAAACCUGUUAAGAAAGUUCUGGUCUUGUGUUUACAUGUUCAUUACCGUUUUGGACAAAGGGAGCCUGCAAUUAAUAUUUUCCAUUUCAAAACAUAACUUUCUUUUCUCUUUCAUAUUAGGUUUAUACUAUUUUCCAUGGUGCCGCUGUCCAUAACCAGGAACUCCUCAUUUGCUUGCUGAUCAAUUCAUACAGCACAAAUGCUCAUGUCAGUCUAUUAGAACGUGAUAGAAGUACUGAUCACUGCCUCUGCAUCUAAAUCCUUUUGAAACCAGGAUGACCUGCUGAAGAGGAUUUUGAGUGGAAGGCCCUUCACAAGACUCUUUCAAAUCCACAUAAAUAAAGCCCUUUACUGGCUUAAAAUGGCCCCUCAGAUUUAGCACUACAGAGCCCCUAAAAAGCACAACACGAUUGUCAUGGAUAUUACAUGAUGGUAACAACAACAGGCCAAGAAGACAAGUCUCGAUGCUGAACAAAACUAGGCCAGACUUUUUCAUGAUUUGGGAUACAGAUUGCUGACAGCCCAGUAAAUAGGCUGUUUAACCCUUUGAAAGUGAAUAAAGGGUGUGGAGACAAAUGCUUUCUGAUAGACUUUGUGCAUGUAAUGGGCAAAAAAGUAUAGUAUGUUUUCUGGGAUUUUUAGUGCACGAUUAAUAUUUAAAUAUUUGAGAAUGAUUAGUACAGA